GUCAAAGCCAGGCACAUCCAGGUCCAAGCAAAGCAUCCCCAGCCGAGACCGCGUGCGCUCCACGCAGCCGAGAGUAGUCGUCGCCGGAGAAGGGGGAGGAGGAGGAGCGGGAGGCGACCGAGGAUGUCGUGGCAGACGUACGUCGACGACCACCUGUGCUGCGAGAUCGACGGCCAGCACCUCACCUCCGCCGCCAUCCUCGGCCACGACGGCAGCGUCUGGGCCCAGUCCCCCAACUUCCCCCAGGUUAUCCGCCGGUCUACCCCGUUUCGUUUCUCCUCCGAUCGACCCGCCCCGCCCUAGAUCCGCGCGCGAUCUGCCCCCCCGCGCCCGGAUCGGGCCGGGGGCGGGGGAGAUCCGGAUCUCGGCCGACCCGAGCCGCGGAUCUCGUAGCUUGCCUGGCUGCUGCUGCUGGACUCUCGUUGGGAUGUUGAUUCCCCUGCGCUGGGAGCGGGUGUUGAUGUGAAUUAUACGGUGUGUCUUGUGAGUUGAACGAUACGUAUGUAGAUGGUGGAAUCGGAUUCGUUGCCUUGCCGGGUGAUCCAACUCAACUUGCGAUCAGGGUAGUUCAUAGAAGCAUCGGCAAUACAGUAGCCUAGUGUUGGGGCACUUUUAAAUCUCAUAGUCCGUGUAGCUGCUGCUUUUGCUGGACGAGAAACGCUCUCACGUUGUCGAUUUAUCGAAUCGUGUGUCCUUUUUGGCCAUGAAUUUGUGUUGCCGUGCCUCGUGUUGUUCGAUUGUCCUCCUUUAGGUGCUUAGCUGCGAAAAUUAUUGUUGAAAAAAUGAUCUAGCAUUGCCUUAGGUUCACUUUGACUGCUGGUUAAAUCACGCCGUGUCAUAUCCUUGUACUGUAUGGUGCUGGUAGUAACUAUACUCUUGUUUCAGAAGGCACCUCAAUUCACCAUGAAAGCCUAUCGUGAUGUGUGGCGGGAGUCCCAUGUUUUUAUGUUCACAAUGUGUUUGUUAUGACAGUUAUAUAUAUUUUUUUGCCUGCCCUAUCUGAGCUUUCCCUUGUGUUCUGCUUCUGGAUGCUGCAGUUCAAGCCUGAGGAGAUUGCUGGCAUCAUUAAGGACUUUGACGAACC
rnacentral:lncRNA from 1 species